UGAAGAGUACACCGACAAUCAAGUUAGAAGCCAUCGAAAUAUUCCAUCGUUUGCUCUAAGCAUUUUAAUGAAGAAGAUUUUAUUAAAGAGAGUUGAGACUCUCCUACUCGGAAGGAAGGUGAAAAGAAAUACUACAGCUUUGUCUCGAAACAUUUAAAAAAAGAUGCUUAUCCCCACAUAUUUUCAAACUUUCCUUCAUAUAUAUCACAUAAAAUAAAUAAUGGCUCAAUAUCUAGUACUUCUUCAUCAAAGGAGUCAAGUACUUCAAAACAAACGGAAACCAAGAAUUUUUGAUGAAAAGAUAAUUUCAAUACUCUGGAUGAAGGUUUUAAAAAGAUUCAAAAUGAAGUGAUUCCCGCAGGAUUUAUAAUUAUAAAUCAAAAGGACACUCUCGCCUUCAUUUAUUUAGAUGAGGAUCUAGACAUUCCCAAAAUAUUGUCCAGCCUAGUAAUUAAAUCCGACCUUACUUCUUCUUUAGUAUAUGGAGGAAACAAAAUUAAUAACAAAGAAGUCAAACGCCGAUGUCAAGAAUGAAAACUUUGUAAAGUCUUUUCCACUUUAAAUCGUUUUUAAAAUCUUGGAAAGAAACUCCUCCACCCAACCAUAUUGUUCUAAGAGUAAAUCCUCUUGGCAAUCAAAACCCCAAGUAAUCGUCGCUAUUCCUCAUUUCUUCUUGGAACUUCAUCAAUUUGGCAAAAGCUAUCUCCUUUUUUUAUAUCGGGAAUUGAUUACGUCAAGAUUGUUUUGUCUUUCCUCAAUAUCAUAUCUACGUAGAAUCACGGGGGAAAGGACCGUAGAUCUUGGACUUAGACAGUGUCUUUUAUUAUUCAAAAAUGUGCACUCAAUCGUUAACUUCACUACAGUACAUAUUCAUAUUAUGAUAGAUGAAGUCAAAGAGUGGAAUAUAGCGGAGGAAAGAUUUAUGGUCUCGAAAAUGGACAAAUAACGAAAACUGUAUUAGCCAUCAAAAGUAUUACAUCACCUUUUGAAGACAUUAUUGCUUUACUUCCUGUUAAUAAAAUUUCUCCAGAAUUUCAAUAGAAUAUUUUAAGAAAUACCAUCAAAGGAUUAACGAAUAAAAGAUUGGUCGACAGAGGGUUUAUCUUCAUAUCUUUCAAAAGAAACAUGUUUUGCCCUUGAACAUAGUGCUUUGACACUCACUGAAUUAACAAUAUACUUGCUGGAAGAAAAAAAAAUUGAAUAUUUUAUUACUGGAAAAGUUCAGUCGGAUCCAUCAGAAGCACAUUUUGGACAAUAUAGAAGAAAAACAAUGGAAGUUUGGCUGAUCAACGAAGAAGGAACGAGGAAAAUGGUUUUACUUCAUUCAUGCCUGAACUGGGGGUUGUAAUAGAUGAUAACGAUAUAGAAUAUAAUGGAGAAAGUAGAAGAAACACUCGUCUAUCCUCACUUAUUUCUUCAACAAAUGGAUGCGAAACAUCAAUGUCGGAUAUCUCAAUGACACAUCGAAAUAGCUCGUGUUCAAUUGAUUCGCAAUAUUUAGGCAGUUUUGAAAAUAAGGAUGAGAGUGCUGAAGCGUCUCCAAAAAGAUUUAAUGGGGUAGCUCUUCUUCAUCCAGAUGCUGCAAAGUAUACUCGCAUAACUAAAAAAUAAUAUUAGACUGAAAGAAAAAAAAUUCCAAAAUAGAUUAUAUCGUUAUUUCAAAGAUUUUAUUUCGCGUGCAGUCAAACUUUUUUGCCAGGAGCCACUUUGCUGAAUGUCAUUUUGCAUAAUGACCGCUUUGUCAAAAAAAAUACCGAAUAUAUUUAAUGAUGAUAUAUGUUGCAAUAGGAUGUAAUUAUUGCACUGAUUACUUGUCCAUUUAUUAAUUAUAGUCUACUACACUAAAAAUUAUCAAGCUGUGCCUUUGCAAGCCAAACUUAUACCAUACAAGGAGCACAAGUCCUUGCAAAAAGAAUACGAAAAUAGUCACACAAGAAAUCCAAUUAUCGACAGCUUACAACAAAAUACCCUUUAUAUUUUAUUGUCGGAGAGGUAUCAUCGUGAUUUUUGGGCGGAUUGUCGUGAUUUUUGUUACAAUGGUUCAAAUAGUGGUUCGAUCCAAUUGUUGAAGACUCUUCAUAAUAAAAUGAAUCCAUUAUUAAUUAAUCAAGAUUAAUCAUUGCGAUAAUUAAACAUUUUAUCUUUUAAAAUAAAAAUCAUAACUUCAUAGUUUUGCAAAAUGAAUCAUUAUCAAAUAUAUUUAUUAUUUUUUUCAGCAAAGUUUUCGAUCAGUAAUGUGUCCGUUGGGCAAAGUAGUGAUUCUGUAAAGUGUUAAUUUAACGAAAUGAAACUCGGAAAAGGGUCCUAGAACCACUUUAUUUUCUAAAAUUUCUCUCAAUAAUGUUGUCAAAACGAAUCAUUUUAUUAAAUGUUUCAAACUGUUCAUUCACUCUUUCUACACAUUUCACGGCAAAACGACCAAACAUUACAAAAUAUAUAACCACGCAUCUUAGAAUUAGCUAAUUUUUGUCUUGAAUAAGUGCACAUCUGGUUAAUUUUCCAUGCUUAUUUUUGUACCAUAGUGUAACUAUUUACAUUCAAAACUGGUAUUAAGAGGUCAGACAAGGGCAACUGAAAUAUACUUCUUAAAAGAGAUUUCCUAUUCUGUAACAAUUAUAAAUUUGAAAAUUGGAUAUGGCCGCUUAAUGUGAUGAUACGUUUAAAACAAGUGUUUAUGGAAACAUAUUUUCUGCUUUGCUAUGUCACAUGUCUUAAUUAGGCCUUGAAUAUUUGAGUAGAAAAUUAUUGAAAGCUACUUUUUGAGGGACUGUAUCUCUGCAUUCAUUUCUUCUAUAUGCAUUUAAUUUACAUUUUCGGAAUUAAAAUGCUUUAUAUAAUCUACAGACAAAUUUUGAGUAGUAUUGAAUUAAAAUUGAGGUAGUAGUGGAUGUUGAAGUGAGACUCUAGUCAAAUUUCGACAACUUUUGUUUCAUGAAAAUAUAUUCGAUUUUGCCAACUUUAGACAAAAAUUUAUUUAUGAUAAAUUGGCCUCAAACUUACAAUAUUUUAAUAUUUCAAUAGUACAAUUUCACAAUUUAGUCACAUAGAGGACAACAUUUUCUUUGUAUUUGGAUCAAUAUAAGAUAAUGUAGAUCAAUAGUAUUUCGUAGAUAUUGAAAUUGACAGAGCUCAUUUGGAUUAAAGAUUUGUAAGAUAUGAAGACGGCAUUUUAGCGUUUUUGAAACAUUUACAUUUCUUUUAAUUGUUGACCGAUUAUUAAAAUAAAGUAAAAACUUUGGCAUUAAUUAAUUAGAGCGUUUUCACUGACGUCAUAUAUUGCAUCAUUAUUGAAUCAACAACACUUUUUUUUUUUGGGGGUCAUAAUUAAUAUUUUUACUACAUAAAAUUGACAAACUUUCAAUAAAUCUUCAUAAAAUUUAAUCAAAUCGCUUAAAAAAUGAAAAAAGACUUAUCACUUGUACUCAAAACUACUCUAUGCCAAUGAUAAAUACUGAUUAGAAUUAAAUAAAUCUAACAGGUACAAAAAGUUUCUCUGAAAUAGUUUUAUUUGUACAAUCUUUUUUUUUUUUUUUAUCGAUUACAGAAGACAAAAGUAGGAUAAUUAGCAAAAACUAUCUUAUUAAUCCAUUGUCAUAGUUAAUUUAUUGUCUACCAAAUGGAGUUAAGUUUGUAUAACAAUAUAAUAAGAUAUUUUUUAAACAUAUUAGGGUCUGAUAUAUAAACAAAUUAGGCAUUAAGGGAUAAGAUUUUUAAUAAACAAUAAGGUUUAAAUCCUGUUAUUUAACGGUCCUUCUGUGACGUUCAAUAGUUCAUUAUUUUCUUUAAUAUUAAUGAAAAGGUAUUUUUAUUGUUAUAAAACUUGGUUGUAUAGGCUCUAAAACGGCUGAGAUCACAUGAGAACGUUCAAGUAGUAAAGUACUUCUGCAAAUUAAUGCUCAUCAAGUUCAGUUAUCAGUAAAUCCUUUAUGUAAUUAAUUAUAACCGGUUGUUAAGAGGAAAAUACGAAUGUAUUCAAAUUUCCUUUACGUAUCAACCAAUUAUUGAAAUUCAAAAUUGAAUAAAUACAUUGACAGAAACUGGAAACAGUAUAAUCUACAUGUUGCAUAAAAAAAUAAUAAGCCGAUCCUGAGAUAUGUAGUUAUAUUUCUUAAAAUUUUUGAAUUGUUGGAGUGGAAUAACCCACAUGAAAUAUGCUAUUUUCAAACAAAUAAAUUUAUGUUGUGUAGAAAUUAAGGAAUGAACAAGUCCCAUCAUAAUAAUAUAUAUGUCAAUUACCCUUUAAUGUAUUGUAUUAGUUUUUCAAAAUACAUUUGUAUAAUCUCUAAAUAUUAAUUUUUCUAAUUAUCUUUCAAAAUUGUACGGCUAAAAAUUUGUAUAUUUGAUA
rnacentral:misc_RNA from 1 species